ACGUCACCUGUUGUCAUUUCAAGAUUCCGGUAAAUACGAGGUGACGUGAAUGCAGCUUUAAUCCACUGUCUGACAGUAGGUGGGGGCGGGGCUUAUGGAACAGCAGAAAUAGAGCGGUUUCCUUGGUAACAGCUGUACACAAUGGAGCGAUGCACUAAUAAACACUUCUUCUUUUUUUUAGGCAUUACAUGAAGAUUAGAAAGUCACUGCAUUCCUGAGCAUCCUGGACAGAUAAGUGCUUAUGUUUGGUUAUUAGUUUGGUUAUUUUUAGACCAACUUUUUUCAGUUCUUUGUUUUGCAGUAACGUUAGUUAGAUUUUAUUGAAGCAAGUGAAAAUGACCCUAAUUUGGGAAUAUGCUUUAUAUACGUUUGUUCUUCUAUUUAUUUCUUUGCAUGGCUAUUUCUAAAUACAAGACAGUUUGAUCUGCCACAAUGACUUGGUAAGAAAGAUCUUCUGACACUAACAAAAGGUAAUUCAAAUCUGAAUGUUUCGUAUAUAAAUACAUCAUAAAAAACUGAACUGUAUUAACAUGUUUUACAGUACAGAAUCACUGCAUUUCUAAACAUGUUAUUCUCUUCUGUUUCUUUUUUUGCAUUACUCUUUCUGUCUACAUGCCAUGGUUGAGCCAGAGCUGUCACAAUGGUAAAUGGCAAGAAACAUUUAACAGCAAUAAAAGGCAAGUCAAAUCUGCAGUAAAUGUUUUGUAUAUGAAUACAUCAAAAACUGUAUUAUCUUGUGUUAAAGUGCAGCAUGAAUCUUUUUUCUAGAAAAUCACUGCAUUUCUGAACAUGUUCUCCUAUUUAUUUCUUUGCAUGACUCUUUCCAACUUAAUGCUAUGGUUUGAUCUGCCACAAUGACAUGGUAAGAAACAUUGUGUGACAGCGAUAAAAGGCAAGUCUAAUCUGAAUGUUUUGUAGAUGAAUACAUCACAAAAACUGUAUUAACUUGUUUUAAAUUGCAAAAAAUCACUGUAUUUCUGAACAUGUUCUUCUCUGUUUUUUUCUUUGCUCUACUUUUUUCAACUACAUGCCAUAAUUCGAGCCAUUACAUGAACAAACAAGAGAUCUGUCUAUUCAUUAAGGUAAAUAUCUAUAAAAUUACAUGAAUACAGCAACAAUUAUUGACUUGUUCAAAUUUCACAAAAAAACAAAAAAAAAAUUUUUCCUGAAAAGAAUCUCUAAAUCAUGUUCUUUGUUUUUUUCUUUGUAUGAUUCUGUCCAUCUACAUGCCACGGUUUGAGCCGUCACAAUGGUAAAUGUGAACGAUCAUGUGAAUAAAAGGUCAGUCCAAUCUGAAUGUUUUAUACAUGAAUACAUCAGAAGUCUGUAUUAUCUUGUUUUAAAGUGCAAAAUCACUGUAAAAUUUUGAACGUGUUCUUGUAUGUUUCUUGCUUUGCAUUACUCUUUCUGUCUACAUGCCAUGGUUUGAGCCGUCACAAUGGCAAACAUGUAAGAAAGAUCAAGUGACAACAAAAAAUGCAAGUACAAUCUGAAUGUUUUGUAUAUAAAUAUCCAAAAUACUGGAA